rnacentral:rRNA from 1 species
CAAGUCGAACGGUAGAGGGGGCAACCCCUUGAGAGUGGCGAACGGGUGAGUAAUAUAUCGGAACGUGCCCAGUCGUGGGGGAUAACGUAGUGAAAAUCACGCUAAUACCGCAUACGAUCUAAGGAUGAAAGCGGGGGAUCGCAAGACCUCGCGCGAUUGGAGCGGCCGAUAUCAGAUUAGGUAGUUGGUAGGGUAAAGGCCUACCAAGCCAACGAUCUGUAGCUGGUCUGAGAGGACGACCAGCCACACUGGAACUGAGACACGGUCCAGACUCCUACGGGAGGCAGCAGUGGGGAAUUUUGGACAAUGGGCGAAAGCCUGAUCCAGCCAUUCCGCGUGCAGGAUGAAGGCCCUCGGGUUGUAAACUGCUUUUGUACAGAACGAAAAGGUCUCUAUUAAUACUAGGGGCUCAUGACGGUACUGUAAGAAUAAGCACCGGCUAACUACGUGCCAGCAGCCGCGGUAAUACGUAGGGUGCAAGCGUUAAUCGGAAUUACUGGGCGUAAAGCGUGCGCAGGCGGUUAUAUAAGUCAGAUGUGAAAUCCCCGGGCUCAACCUGGGAACUGCAUUUGAGACUGUAUAGCUAGAGUACGGUAGAGGGGGAUGGAAUUCCGCGUGUAGCAGUGAAAUGCGUAGAUAUGCGGAGGAACACCGAUGGCGAAGGCAAUCCCCUGGACCUGUACUGACGCUCAUGCACGAAAGCGUGGGGAGCAAACAGGAUUAGAUACCCUGGUAGUCCACGCCCUAAACGAUGUCAACUGGUUGUUGGGUCUUAACUGACUCAGUAACGAAGCUAACGCGUGAAGUUGACCGCCUGGGGAGUACGGC